rnacentral:rRNA from 1 species
GACGAACGCUGUCGGCGUGCUUAACACAUGCAAGUCGAACGGAAAGGCCCUGCUUUUGUGGGGUGCUCGAGUGGCGAACGGGUGAGUAACACGUGAGUAACCUGCCCUUGACUUUGGGAUAACUUCAGGAAACUGGGGCUAAUACCGGAUAGGAGCUCCUGCUGCAUGGUGGGGGUUGGAAAGUUUCGGCGGUUGGGGAUGGACUCGCGGCUUAUCAGCUUGUUGGUGGGGUAGUGGCUUACCAAGGCUUUGACGGGUAGCCGGCCUGAGAGGGUGACCGGCCACAUUGGGACUGAGAUACGGCCCAGACUCCUACGGGAGGCAGCAGUGGGGAAUAUUGCACAAUGGGCGGAAGCCUGAUGCAGCAACGCCGCGUGCGGGAUGACGGCCUUCGGGUUGUAAACCGCUUUCGCCUGUGACGAAGCGUGAGUGACGGUAAUGGGUAAAGAAGCACCGGCUAACUACGUGCCAGCAGCCGCGGUGAUACGUAGGGUGCGAGCGUUGUCCGGAUUUAUUGGGCGUAAAGGGCUCGUAGGUGGUUGAUCGCGUCGGAAGUGUAAUCUUGGGGCUUAACCCUGAGCGUGCUUUCGAUACGGGUUGACUUGAGGAAGGUAGGGGAGAAUGGAAUUCCUGGUGGAGCGGUGGAAUGCGCAGAUAUCAGGAGGAACACCAGUGGCGAAGGCGGUUCUCUGGGCCUUUCCUGACGCUGAGGAGCGAAAGCGUGGGGAGCGAACAGGCUUAGAUACCCUGGUAGUCCACGCUGUAAACGGUGGGUACUAGGUGUGGGGUCCAUUCCACGGGUUCCGUGCCGUAGCUAACGCUUUAAGUACCCCGCCUGGGGAGUACGGCCGCAAGGCUAAAACUCAAAGGAAUUGACGGGGCCCCGCACAAGCGGCGGAGCAUGCGGAUUAAUUCGAUGCAACGCGUAGAACCUUACCUGGGUUUGACAUGGAUCGGGAGCGCUCAGAGAUGGGUGUGCCUCUUUUGGGGUCGGUUCACAGGUGGUGCAUGGCUGUCGUCAGCUCGUGUCGUGAGAUGUUGGGUUAAGUCCCGCAACGAGCGCAACCCUUGUUCACUGUUGCCAGCACGUUAUGGUGGGGACUCAGUGGAGACCGCCGGGGUCAACUCGGAGGAAGGUGGGGAUGACGUCAAGUCAUCAUGCCCCUUAUGUCCAGGGCUUCACGCAUGCUACAAUGGCUGGUACAGAGAGUGGCGAGCCUGUGAGGGUGAGCGAAUCUCGGAAAGCCGGUCUCAGUUCGGAUUGGGGUCUGCAACUCAACCUCAUGAAGUCGGAGUCGCUAGUAAUCGCAGAUCAGCAACGCUGCGGUGAAUACGUUCCCGGGGCU